GCUGCCGCCGGUGGGGCUGCGGGGGGAAGGGGCCGUGCUCGCCUCUGUCUGUUCGGCUUCUUUCCGACCUCGUGCACCUCUCUGCUCCUUCAUGAAAUUUCUGGGGGAGAAAAUGGAUUUUCUGAGUUUGCUGCUUCUUUUCUUCUCGGCAGUGGCUGUGAGCAGAGCCCAGGUGCAACAGGAGCCGUUGGCAGAGACCACCGAGGGGGCUGCAGUCAACAUCACCUGCUCACACCCCAACAUACAAAUCGGGUAUUCCAUCUACUGGUACCGUCAGCUCCCGGGCCGAGGACCCGCAUUCCUCGUCAGCGCUGUCAAAGGCUCCAAGGAGGUGCCGGACCCGGAGGGGCAGCUGUGGGUGUCGGCAGACCGCCGCUCCAGCGUUCUGCGUCUCGCCCGGCCCCGGCUCGGGGACGCGGCGCUGUAUUACUGCGCCGUGGACCCACAGGAAGCGAAGCCGGGGCUGCGUCCGGGCGCGAACCGCUUGGGGCGGGGCGGGGGCACAGUGCCGUCCGGGCCCGCAGGGGGCGCUGCCUGCAUGGCCGCCAAACUCCAUCCUGACCGGGGUGCGCCGCCCUGA